CCCUCUCCCUGUUCCUUUCUCUCUCACUCUCAAUUCCUCUCCCUCUCUCUUUUUGCAAGCUGCAAGCCUAUAAUAACAGGUUUCAAGGUUGCCAGCACUGCAGAAGCACCUUUGUACGGGAAGACGGAAUAAAAGGGCUGGAGGUGACCUUGAAGAAGAAGCUUGAAGACAGAUGGUGGUCAAGAUACGCAGACAAGAAGGAGGGGGUAUAUUAACACAUUCUGGUCUGCUGGGUUGGCAGCAAGGAAGAUGUCUUGCCAUUUUUAUGCCACUUACAUCCAGGCAGCUCCAUGUGAUGAUCUCCGUUGUGGAAUUAGUGCAUGUGAUAUCUCUGUAUGAAGGGAGGAGGCAUCAAGAAAAUUAAUUGUUGUUGAUGAUUCUCAAAUUUGUCCUGGAAACUGGACUGAGGGAAACAGAUGUCUGACCAGAUGCAAGGCAUGUGUUGGCUUUAGUGGAGUUAAGCUGCUAGUAUCCCUGCAUAUGGACAAAGGCUAAGAACUGAUACUACUAGCACAAAGGAUAAGCUUCUCUAGGAAGCAAUCCCAGAUUCAGGUUUGUUUGGUUUGUUUUGUUUUGUUUUUCCCAACAUGCUGUGAGUAUCCUUUUGACUACAUAUCAUUUCUGAGUUGUUUCCAAAACAGUGGACACUUAACUAAAG
rnacentral:lncRNA from 1 species